rnacentral:rRNA from 1 species
CCCUUCGGGGUGAUGUUUGUGGAAUGAGCGGCGGACGGGUGAGUAACACGUGGGCAACCUACCUGUAAGAUCGGGAUAACUCGCGGAAACGUGAGCUAAUACCGGAUAACACUUUUCACCUCAUGGUGAGAAGAUGAAAGGCGGCGCAAGCUGUCACUUACAGAUGGGCCCGCGGCGCAUUAGCUAGUUGGUGGGGUAAUGGCUCACCAAGGCGACGAUGCGUAGCCGACCUGAGAGGGUGAUCGGCCACACUGGGACUGAGACACGGCCCAGACUCCUACGGGAGGCAGCAGUAGGGAAUCUUCCGCAAUGGACGAAAGUCUGACGGAGCAACGCCGCGUGAGUGAUGAAGGUUUUCGGAUCGUAAACUCUGUUGUUAGGGAAGAACAAGUAUGAUAGUACUGAUCAUACCUUGACGGUACCUAACCAGAAAGCCACGGCUAACUACGUGCCAGCAGCCGCGGUAAUACGUAUGUGGCAAGCGUUGUCCGGAAUUAUUGGGCGUA